rnacentral:lncRNA from 1 species
GAGGAAGAGAGGAGCAAAUAUAUAUAUGGCACUCCAGGAAGAUGAAGUGUAUGCAGCUGUAGUCUGGGAGGUCUGAUGUUAGGGAAAAAGGAGGAAAGCAAGAUUAAAAAUCAUUCCUGGAAAUGCAAGAGCAAAUGUGCUGGAGUGGUGCUGUGAGUAUCAGGGACACUGGACAAGAAAGAUAAGCAAGCCACUGCCGUCUGAUUCCUACAUAGCAGGUUAAAGUGUUGCAUUCAUAAUUCCCACUUCAGGAAGACUGAAAACCAG